CCCUUCGAUGUUCGGAGCUGCACGCGCGCUACACUGUGGGUGGCAGCAUGUUAGCUUGCCUCGCUCGCAAGAGUGGGGUAAUCGUUUGAAAAUCCCACGUGAUUGGGAUAGGGACUUGUAAUUAUUUCCCUUGAACGAGGAAUUCCUAGUAAACGCAAGUCAUCAGCUUGCAUUGAUUACGUCCCUGCCCUUUGUACACACCGCCCGUCGCACCUACCGAUUGAAUGGUCCGGUGAAAUCUCCGGACUGGCGUGAGUCGGAGCAAUCUGACAAACACCGGAAAGUUGAUUAAACCUUACCAUUUAGAGGAAGGUGAAGUCGUAACA
rnacentral:rRNA from 1 species